GACGAACGCUGGCGGCGUGCUUAACACAUGCAAGUCGAACGAUGAAGAAAAGAAUCGAAGCUUCGGCAGAAAUUCAUUUCGGAUUAGUGGCAGACGGGUGAGUAACGCGUGAGCAACCUACCUCUUACAAAGGGAUAGCCUCGGGAAACCGGGAUUAAUACCAUAUAACAUUGUGACGAAGCAUUUCGAUGCAAUCAAAGCUACGGCGGUAAGAGAUGGGCUCGCGUCCCAUUAACCGGAUGGUGAGGUAACGGCUCACCAUAGUGACGAUGGGUAACCGGCCUGAGAGGGUGAACGGUCAAACUGGAAAUGAGACACGGUCCAGACUCCUACGGGAGGCAGCAGUGGGGAAUAUUGCACAAUGGAGGGAACUCUGAUGCAGCGACGCCGCGUGAGUGAUGAAGGAAUUCGUUUCGUAAAACUCUGUUCUAUGGGAAGAAAAGGACUGUACCAUAGGAGAAAGCUCCGGCUAAAUACGUG
rnacentral:rRNA from 1 species